CCUACGGGAUGCAGCAGUGAGGAAUAUUGGUCAAUGGGCGCGAGCCUGAACCAGCCAAGUCGCGUGAAGGAUGACUGCCCUACGGGUUGUAAACUUCUUUUAUAAAGGAAUAAAGUGAGGCACGUGUGCCUUUUUGUAUGUACCUUAUGAAUAAGGAUCGGCUAACUCCGUGCCAGCAGCCGCGGUAAUACGGAGGAUACGAGCGUUAUCCGGAUUUAGUGGGUUUAAAGGGAGCGUAGAUGGGUUGUUAAGUCAGUUGUGAAAGUUCGCGGCUCAACCGGAGAAUUGCAAUUGAUACUGGCAGUCUUGAGUACAGUUGAGGUAGGCGGAAUUCGUGGUGUAGCGGUGAAAUGCUUAGAUAUCACGCAGAACUCCGAUUGCGAAGGCAGCUUACUAAACUGCAACUGACGUUGAUGCACGAAAGUGUGGGUAUCAAACAGGAUUAGAUACCCCAGUAGUC
rnacentral:rRNA from 1 species